AACCUGGGAACUGCAUUCGAAACUGGCAGGCUAGAGUCUUGUAGAGGGGGGUAGAAUUCCAGGUGUAGCGGUGAAAUGCGUAGAGAUCUGGAGGAAUACCGGUGGCGAAGGCGGCCCCCUGGACAAAGACUGACGCUCAGGUGCGAAAGCGUGGGGAGCAAACAGGAUUAGAUACCCUGGUAGUCCACGCCGUAAACGAUGUCGAUUUGGAGGUUGUGCCCUUGAGGCGUGGCUUCCGGAGCUAACGCGUUAAAUCGACCGCCUGGGGAGUACGGCCGCAAGGUUAAAACUCAAAUGAAUUGACGGGGGCCCGCACAAGCGGUGGAGCAUGUGGUUUAAUUCGAUGCAACGCGAAGAACCUUACCUGGUCUUGACAUCCACAGAACUUUCCAGAGAUGGAUUGGUGCCUUCGGGAACUGUGAGACAGGUGCUGCAUGGCUGUCGUCAGCUCGUGUUGUGAAAUGUUGGGUUAAGUCCCGCAACGAGCGCAACCCUUAUCCUUUGUUGCCAGCGGUUCGGCCGGGAACUCAAAGGAGACUGCCAGUGAUAAACUGGAGGAAGGUGGGGAUGACGUCAAGUCAUCAUGGCCCUUACGACCAGGGCUACACACGUGCUACAAUGGCAUAUACAAAGAGAAGCGACCUCGCGAGAGCAAGCGGACCUCAUAAAGUAUGUCGUAGUCCGGAUUGGAGUCUGCAACUCGACUCCAUGAAGUCGGAAUCGCUAGUAAUCGUAGAUCAGAAUGCUACGGUGAAUACGUUCCCGGGCCUUGUACACACCGCCCGUCACACCAUGGGAGUGGGUUGCAAAAGAAGUAGGUAGCUUAACCUUCGGGAGGGCGCUUACCACUUUGUGAUUCAUGACUGGGGUGAAGUCGUAACAAGGUAACCGUAGGGGAACCUGCGGUUG
rnacentral:rRNA from 15 species